rnacentral:lncRNA from 1 species
CCCUCUUCGCAAAAAAAGAACAAAGGCUUGGUGUCUACAAUAAGACGUAUAAUAACAUUACUCAUUGCACCAAAUGGAGCAAGGCGCAAAGGCCCCACUUCAAACCAAGAGUUAUUUGAAAAUAAAUGCUUGAUAAUUUAGCAAUGAUAAGGAUGCUUUUAAUAAUGAAAAAUAAAAGAAACAUAGCCUCAAACUAUGUAAUAGCAAAAUGCGGGCAUUCUCUCUAUACAAUUUUGCUAUGUUAGCUGGAACUUAGGAAACCAGGUCACGCUUUGUCCUUGAUGCAUUGUUGGUAAAUUCUCCCCUCCCACUCCUCUGGGUCCAUAGCAUUUUGUCCUUCACAGCCCCUUUAUAGGUUAGAUGCAUUGUAAUUCCUUUAUUUUUUAAAGGACCUGAAGAAACAAUGCCUUGCAAAAUGUUCGUCGUCUCUUCAGUGAUGGAGCCACUCUCUGCCAUCUCUUCUUUUUUGAAGGGAACUGGACAAACAAUGACCAACACCAUGUUUAUGACAUGUUGGUCUACUGUAAUAGAAGUGUAAACAUGAAAUUAUGAAUCAAUUCUGGGUUGUCGUGUAAGUGGCUGACUGGAGUAUCAAAGCUUUCUCCAGGGAACAACACACAACAUGAAUAUCCUAGAUGUGUUUUCCAAGUUAUAGAAUCCGCAUGAGGUAAUCAUGUGAGUCUACUAUAUAGAAAUUGUAGGCAAAAUUCAGCAACAAAGGUAACAUGUGUAGUGAGAAAUUGGAUAACAAAAGAAAUACUUUCAACCAAAUCCAGAGGAACACAUAGUUUGCCCAGGAACUUUUCACUGAAGUAACAAUGCAAUUAUUCAUAGCAUGUUUGUUCUAGAACCAAACUAUUCUUUAGGAAAUUGUGGAGACAAAAUUAUACGAAAAAGGGAGACACUCCUACUCAACCUCGGGAAAGAACCAUCAAUGAUAUUCAGAGUUUAGCCUUCGUGCAGUAAUAACAUGUGCAUAUUCAUCCUAUUUUUCUUCUACCUUACCAAAUAAACUGGCCUCAAUCUUACAAAAAUUAUUUCUUAAUCUAGUCAGCUGCUCAAAUGUAUAAAUUAAAAUUUAAGUUUCCAGCAAUAUAGAAGUCAUCUUAAAAAACAUCAGCAUACUAAAUGACGAUGGAAACAAUAACACACAACCCGCUCACAUGACCAAAAAAUAAGCAAAGUGGGGUAAAGGAACACACAAAUGCAACGCUGAGUAACUCUGGAUGAGAGGACGACCAAUCAGUCAAACAUACAUAGGAUGCACUGAAAUCGGUAAACUAUUAUUAAGCGGAAAGAGUUGUCUAAAUUUCAGAAAAAAUGACAACAGCAUCAACAUGAACAAUUCUAAGAGAAAAAUGAAAACCCAAUUCCUCGGACUUUUUUAACUUUCGGCCAUGUGCAUGUUUUUUAUGCAUUCAGCAACACUAAAAGAGAGACAAAUAUGUGAGUGCACAUGCUUUGGUAUUACGAAACUACACUCAUUUCAGUUAUAGACAAUGGUAUUAGGAAACUUCACUCAUUUCAGUUAUACACAAUGCAGACCAUAAGUUGGCGACUAUACUUCCAAAGAAAGAUGAAAUUUAAAAUGUGGAGAACAAAGUAAAGAGGUAGUACACGGUAUUGAAGCAAGAAAACAGGACAUAGUGCUACUAAUUCGGCUUAUAUGCAUAGCAAAUGUAGCUUAUGUACAGUAGUGGUGAAUCCAUUAUGAACAAUAAUUUAGAUUUAUGCAUAUAGUAAUGCCAAGUUUUGACAAAAUCUGUAAUUGGUAUGAUUUCCCUCCCAACUGUUAUAGAUGAGCAUACUCCUAUAUAGGACUAUUUUCAAAUUAUCUAAAUUAGACCCACAGUAAUAAAACCUAGGGGCAACCUCAACAACAACAAAAUUAUUAAAAAUAAAGACUGCAAGUUAAACAAGCCAGACGCAUCAAAUUUUAUAUCUAGUUCUGAAAUUUUCAUCAUUCCAUAUUAGUCCAGAACUCCAGAUAGUUAGUUAUUCUAGACAAACUAACUCUGCUAAUGGAUUAAAAAAACACAUAACCUUUUUACAAAUGAGUAUAAGGUUUAGUGGUUUAAAUAUUUACUUCAUCAAAUAGUCCAAUACUAAUUGCUCCAAAUGACAAGUGCCAUCUUUUAAUCCCCCUUCCUAGACAAGUGGUAGAUCAUCACACUGGAACUACUAUAGGGCUCAUAGCCUCAUGCUAGAGACAAGAAAAAAUUGUUCUUGGUAAAUUCUCAGCAAACAACUGUGACAUGCCGCCUGAGCACUUCUAAUGAGGGGCUCCAGACCACAGGCCCCCAAAUUCAUUUCUAAAAUUGAGUUCAGUAGCAUGUCGUCGCUCUCAUGAGCACUCCCGUCCAGGUGCACAAAGAAGGAAAACAUGACACUUACAUUAGGAAAUACCUAUACGGUCCACGGUGUGAUUCUCCCUUAACAAUGCAGUAUGGGACCUCCCAAUUUCCUGCACAGGGCUGGGAACCACACAACCAGCUCAACUGGGUCAACAUCAUGAGCGAUGAUGACCAGCUGAGGGUUGCUCUACAGCACAAAACACAAGGAUUAAUCACGGGAAUGAUUAUUGUGGCCACAAAAAGAUGCCAUGAAUAAGAAUUUUCCCCUACCGCAAGCGUUUGCCUGCAACUUUAAACUGAACCAGCAAGUUAUCCUGUCAUUUGUUACAAAGUAAUGCUUAGAAGACUAAUUUCAAAAGGGCAAGAGUCCAAUAUACUUUCAGAAUGUACAGUUUAGAUUAUCUUUUCUAGUACCAAUUCUAAACACAGCAAAACAGUUUAGCUCCUAUUAUUUAAGCUCACAGUAUUUCAACCAAGAAUUGUUCGCAUGUCAUAAUAUCUUUUGUAGUCGUAAUCCCAGUAGUAUUUACUUGCGCAUUUAGGAUAUCAUAGUUAAAGCUAAACAAGAAUUGUCCUAGCAUAAUUUACCUUUCAGAAGCUUACAGUAGUAAUGUAAAUAGAGAUGGUUGAGACAUAAUUUUGUAGAAGAUCACAUCAGAGAGGCAAUAGAUUACAUCUGAAAUCGCCCAGUUAAAAUUAUGUGUCAGCCAUAUGAAUCUCAACACCAAAUAACAAUUAGAAUCUGGACUGAUAGGUCGCUUCUCCCAUUUGAUUUUUGCCUGACAUUCAAACCUAAAACUAACUAAUUCUACUUUAUAUCCAGAGAAGAGGUGAAUAUGACAAUACGAUCUGUCAAACCAGUACACUGACUCAUAGCUCGAUGUCAAAACACCAUGGCAUUACUUAACAGGCAAAACACAAAUGCUUAACACCUGGAACAAGGGAAGAUGAGGAUACUAACCUAUAAAUAAGGCCAUCUUUAUACAACCUGAGAAAAGCUUCAAUUACAGUUUUGACCUUUACUCAUCCAUUGUAAAGGACUGACACACGAGGUGGAAAUUAAGUUGACAUUGGGAGUUGGAACUAUAGACAAUACAUUGUUUAUUUGUUUUCUUUAUUUUUCUUAACUAAGGAAAAUAAGAAGUAUACCUCACGGACCAAUCAAGGGAGGUGCCAAGCCUACAUAAUUGAUUCAGUAUGGCACCACCAAACUGAUCUUUCCAUUCCAGGACCUAUACAAAAGAUGAUAAGAGGAUACACCAAGUGUGCAAAGAAAUAAGCUCACUACGAUUCAUGGCGCAUCACACAUGACACUGCUGAUUGUGAAUUUCAUAAAUAUACAGAACACUGAAUCUACACUAUUUACACCUUCUACCAUACAUUGCCUGGACAAACAAAAGAAAAGGCAACCAUGAGUUAUUUCAACUGGUGUAGGCAAUGUACUUAUAACAGAGCAACAUCACAGCAGUUCUAGUUAUCAGGACAAGACUAAAGUGUAGCUUAAAACCAUAGUUAACUAUAUGUAUAUUUCAGUUACUUAAAAUCAAGAUAGUAGACUUGUUCCUAACCCUUGUUGUGAUUAGUGGCCAUGUGCAUGACUAAACCUGAGAUAAUGAUUCAUUUGCAAAUUCCGCAGACACGUGUAUAUUAAACCAGCAAGUUACGGCAGCCUAAUUGUCCAAAAGCAAGAGCUUAACAUGUUUCCAUAGAUGCCCAAUUCAGGCCGUGCAGUCACAAAUAAAUGUCAAGCAAGAGCUUAACAUGUUUCCAUAGAUGCCCAAUUCAGGCCAUGCAGUCACAAAUAAAUGCCAUGCCAGGCUCUAGAAAAUUUGAUAUUAAGUCAUGUCCCAUGAUCUUCUUUGUAGUUUUAACUUUAAUGCCACAAUUAUUUAUCCAAGCUACGACAUUGGAAGAUUAUUGUGAAUUUCCUACCCAAUUAUAAAGUACUAAAGAUGGUCAUGUGAGUCAAUUAUAUAUAUUGUAGGCAAAAUUCAGCAACAAAGGUAAUAAGCCUAGUGAGAGACUGGAUAACAGAAGAAACCCAAUCAACCAAGUCAGAGACAUAGAGACCAUGUUCAGGAACUUCUCACUAAAGUAACAAUUUGUGCCGUUUCAUAUUCACAACACACUAGUUGAAUAAGUUCCUGUAAAAGAUAUCUAAAUUGUGUAAGGUUGCCUAAGUCUAGCCAAAAUGAAAGAAAAAUGUGCAUUUACCAAGCAUGUGGUAAGAAGAUAAGAAUCCACCUCGGAUAAAUAAGACACUCUGCAAGAGAAAGGAGAAUUGACCAAUUCAUGCACAGACAAUCUGAGAAUUGCUCCCAGCAUCAAACACGAAGAUCUGGAUGGCACCCAGCACCUAUCCAUCCUUACGAAAACCUUAAAAUUACAUUCAAUGUCCAAAGGGGGGAUAACAACCAGUACUUGUACUUACCAAGACCAAAAAGAGGCAACAAAAAAGACAAGGCAAGCCGAGCAUCUGUUUUAAUAAGUACACAUCAAAGUAGCAAGGCAAAAGUUGGUACAUCUUGGUUAUAGUUUUCAUCAUCAGUGGGAAUAUCAUCCCACAAUAAUCAGACAACAUUAUUAACUCUAUGCCCAAACCAUAUUGCCAUCAGUCUUCAUGUAAGGCACUUUUCGGUUUAACACGUGGACUGGAAGGCAAUAUAAGCCAUUCUCUGAACCUUCAUGCAAAAAAUUAAUCAUCCAAAAGUGGAAGUGGCUGACUAACAGCACAUAGUUGACCAAUUACACAUAGCUGAAAAACAGUACUAAUUCUACAAUGGUAGAUCGGCACAUUUAUCUACCAAAUGGUAUGGUAAGAACUGGAUAACAUGAUAAAGAUAAGCAGCUAAAAUUGUAUAAGUUAUGCAGCUCAAACCUUCAAAAUAUUCAGUAAACUGAUGUACUGAAAACAAUGUCACCUUUGCUUACCUAAUUUAGAUCAUGCCAUCGAUCCACAUAGCAAAGAUCAAUCAUGCCACUUGUCGAAAUGAUGCGGCCACUGCCAAUAGUAAAGCUCUCUCCACAUAUCC